CCGGCGCUGAAUCUCAGGGAAUGAUCCUUCCAGACCAUAAUGAGAUAUUGUGUCUGCUCCUGGAGACGAAGCCUGCCUUUGGACUCCUGUCCAACAUUUCCAGAGACGUGAAUAAGAGUCAUGUGUGCAUAACCCUUCUGCCAGGGCUGCAUGGGCCGCAGUGAAGGCUGGGUCCGAGCAUGAGGGCACUCUGAGCUCACACCUGGGAAGUAGGCUCAGCUGCCUGAUGGUCGGACAUCCCUGCACUUUCUCCAACAGGAAUCAGAUGGGCAACACAAAAUAUGCUUACUAAAGGAAGAAAAGUGGAACGAGGUUAUAUAGGCCAUUUGUGUGGAAAGCCUUCAUUUCUGGCUGCCAUGUUGAAGAACCUUGGGAAGACUUGACUUCUUUCAUGCUCAUCAGUUCCAAAAACCUGACCUCCUUAGAGGAUGUCGUGGGGUGAGUGACAAAAAUAGCUCAUUGCUACUGAAAGUGCUGCCCUUGGGAGCGCUGUGAGGAAGGCAGCACGUUGGGUGCCAUGGCCAUUGGCAGCCCGGAGAAAGAGGCUGCUGGUGGCUGCAGGGCUCCUGUGCUGCUGGAAGUUGUUCACACUUGAGCCUUCCUGGGAAAGCAAGGGCAAUCUAAAUUUCUAAUGCAGCAAAACAAGCAGGAAAAAGAGAAAUCAAAGCCUACCUUCAAAGGCCCCUUUUAUGCCUCAUUAAAAAACUGAGAAAGACCCAAGUGGGGUCUAACCACUCAGUCCUUUUAAUCUCCUUAAGUCUGCUGUGGGCUUGCUUGGUUUUUUGGUUUUUUUUUCCUCCGGUUUGUCACAAACCUGUCACAGCAAUAUGUGCUGACAGCCAUGCGACAACAUUGCUGAGUCCCCAGUUCUACACCAGGCAGCAUGGCCUAAUGCGGCCUGCCGCCCAGGAGCAACAAGCUCCUCUUCCCACCCACAGACACCUUCUAGCUCAGGCAGGCUGCAGACCCACUUUCUGCCCUGGACAUUUAUCCAGGUACUUAGCAGAAUUUGUUAUUUUUGCAAGCUUUGACAAUCUCUAGCAAUCUCAAAAGUGACUGUGACUCUGUAUCUGAGAAAGAAAUGGAGAAGUCUCCAGUGGGCAGUCAUGGUUUGGCUACUAUGAUAUUGAAGAGCCACACAUUCUCCUACAGCCUCUACAAGUAUGCAUCAUUUAAAAUUUAUUUGACUUCUUCCAGCUUUUUCUUUCUUUCUUUUUUUUUUUUUUUUUUUUUUUUUUGGACUUAUAUAGAUCUGGUUUGAUAAUUGUUUUCUUCCUUGGAAUACUUUGCCUUCACAAAAGUUCAUUUCUACUCAGAGACCAGAUGCAUCCUCUAAUAACAAUUACGUAGCACAGAGCAAUAAAC
ensembl:lncRNA